rnacentral:rRNA from 1 species
UUUCCUACGGGUGGCUGCAGUGGGGAAUAUUGGACAAUGGGCGAAAGCCUGAUCCAGCCAUGCCGCGUGAGUGAUGAAGGCCUUAGGGUUGUAAAGCUCUUUCAGUGGGGAAGAUAAUGACGGUACCCACAGAAGAAGCCCCGGCUAACUUCGUGCCAGCAGCCGCGGUAAUACGAAGGGGGCUAGCGUUGUUCGGAUUUACUGGGCGUAAAGCGCGCGUAGGCGGAUCGCUAAGUCGGGGGUGAAAUCCUGGAGCUCAACUCCAGAACUGCCUCCGAUACUGGCGAUCUAGAGUCCGGAAGAGGUGAGUGGAACUCCUAGUGUAGAGGUGGAAUUCGUAGAUAUUAGGAAGAACACCAGUGGCGAAGGCGGCUCACUGGUCCGGCACUGACGCUGAUGCGCGAAAGCGUGGGGAGCAAACAGGAUUAGAUACCCCAGUAGUCCU